rnacentral:rRNA from 1 species
AGUUUGAUCAUGGCUCAGAUUGAACGCUGGCGGCAGGCCUAACACAUGCAAGUCGAGCGGAUGACGGGAGCUUGCUCCCGGAUUCAGCGGCGGACGGGUGAGUAAUGCCUAGGAAUCUGCCUGGUAGUGGGGGACAACGUUUCGAAAGGAACGCUAAUACCGCAUACGUCCUACGGGAGAAAGCAGGGGACCUUCGGGCCUUGCGCUAUCAGAUGAGCCUAGGUCGGAUUAGCUAGUUGGUGAGGUAAUGGCUCACCAAGGCGACGAUCCGUAACUGGUCUGAGAGGAUGAUCAGUCACACUGGAACUGAGACACGGUCCAGACUCCUACGGGAGGCAGCAGUGGGGAAUAUUGGACAAUGGGCGAAAGCCUGAUCCAGCCAUGCCGCGUGUGUGAAGAAGGUCUUCGGAUUGUAAAGCACUUUAAGUNNNAGGAAGGGUUGUAGACUAAUACUCUGCAAUUUUGACGUUACCGACAGAAUAAGCACCGGCUAACUCUGUGCCAGCAGCCGCGGUA